rnacentral:rRNA from 1 species
CGGACACACUAAACUUUUAUUUUAUUUGCUUUAUAAAUGAAAAUUAGCCUUUAGGUGAAGAGACCUAAAUAAGGUAGAAAGACAAGAAGACCCUAUUGAGCUUUAUUUUAAAAUAAAAAGAGAAAUUUUGUUGGGGCGACCAGGGAAUAAAAAAACCUUCCCUAAUUUAGACGGACACUCCAAUUAACUAACCCUAAAGGAACGCAGAACAAGCUACCAUAGGGAUAACAGGCUAAUUUUUUCAGCGAGCUCAUAUCAAUGAAAAAGAUUGGCACCUCGAUGUUGGCUUGAAGAAUCUAUUAGGUGCAGCAGCCU